UACAGAGGGUGCGAGCGUUAAUCGGAAUUACUGGGCGUAAAGCGUGCGUAGACGGUUAUUUAAGUCGGGUGUGAAAGCCCGGGCUCAACCUGGGAAUUGCAUUCGAGACUGAAUAGCUAGGGUACGGUAGAGGGAAGUGGAAUUCCGGUGUAGCGGUGAAAUGCGUAGAUAUCGGAAGGAACAUCGAGUGGCGAAAGCGACUUCCUGGACCAGUACCGACGUUCAGGCACGAAAGCGUGGGGAGCAAACAGGAUUAGAAACCCCCUGGU
rnacentral:rRNA from 1 species